GAAUUACUCUGCCGCGUCUUUUCGACCGUAUCUUCCACUGUUCUUAUUCAGAUAUGAGCCAACAGCAAAGAGCAGCUGCUCUUUUAAGGCAGGCAGCAGAUUUGUUGAAUGUCAACACAAGUGACAGUACAUGUAGUACACAAUACCAGCACCUGCACCAGUAACCUCUGUCAGUAGCACCAGUGCUGCAAAGGCAAUUUUUGCACCCGACAGUAAAAGAAGGAGGCAUGGACAUGCAAAUACAGGAACUGUGGCAGUGUCAGCACUGGACUAUUACACUCAGGUGUUAUCAGGUCCCUGGUUACAACUAAAGACCACCUGUUGACGGAGCUAGACAGACCCGGGAGAGACACCAGUACAGAGGUGAAUCAGAUUAACUGGAGCUACAAGCAGGUUAAGAAAAGUCUUCAGGGACCAGUCUAAAUGUUCGGAUAAUGAUAAUAGAGUGUACUAUGUGUUUUAUUUCUAAGAAUUUUGGCCACUCUGUAUCCAAUAUCCGAAGUGUUAUUUAAUUAAGAUUUAGGAAAAAUAAGGCCAAUCUUAAUAAAAAAUAUUCUGCUAGUUGGAACAUAUUGAACUGUUUAUUCAAUCAUACAGCCAUUUGUUGUUUGCCAUUUGAGCAUUUGGCAUGCUUAGGCUCAACAAAAUAUUAGAGAAAUUGAUUUAUUUCACAUUAUUUAACUUAUCUUGCGAUGAUUUUACAAGCAUAUUGUUCACACAUCUUGUACAUUGGUAAGCAGAUAUGUUCCUGCUAGAUUUCAAUAGUGUAUUUUUUAGUAAAAAUGUCUUGCCUUUCUAUUUUGUUGUGCUGACAUUGAGACAUUAGUUAUAAUUUGUUUGCAGUAAACGGCCUAGGUUAAGUAGACCUGGUAUUCAGUCAAAUUGAGCUGCGUUCUGGGGAAAUUGGCUUUAUGCAUGAGUGUGAAGUGUCAUCCCAGAUUAGCUUAUGUGGUCCACACAUGCUUAUCCGGGACAACAAUUUCGGCCUAGUUUCUUCCCUGAUUAGCCUGUGCGGACCGUACAAGUUUAUCUGCGACAACACUUUAGGUACAUGCAUUAAAACCCAUUUUCCCCAGAGCAAGGGUCAAUUGUAUGUUUUUCCUUUCAAUAUUCACAUGCCCUUUAUUUAAGGAUCAUACAGAUUCUUAAUGCCUAUUUAUUGUAAGCUGACUAUUCAGUCAUAACCAAAAAGCGUUAUAAGAUCUUUGUUAAAGACAGGACACUGAAUUCUAGCAUUUAAUGAGGUUAUGUGCUUUUCCACACUUAUUCUAUGUCUUUUAUAAGUAAUAGGUGAGCACUAGCAACAAUACAAUUUGCUACCAAAA